AGAUGUAACGUCUGAUAUAGAGAUCAAUAUAUAAAUUAUGUUUGGGCUUUUCCAUUUGAUGAGGUGUUGGAAUUGAAAGAAAUGAGUUUGUUGACGACUAAAAGAAAUAGUUUUACUAAUACUUUUAGACUUAUUCUUUGGUUCACUCCUAGGGUGAACAUCUAGGUUUACCAACCAAUAGGAUUUCAUUAUUUCAAAUUUGAUAUCUUUUAUAAAAGGAAACAAAAUAUUGUCAAGUUAUAUUAUGUUUUUAAAAUAAAAAGGUAAAAAGAAAUAAAUAAAUAAAAGUAAUAAUUAUAAAAAAAAAUUUAACAUCGUCAGGAAAAAAACUAAACCUUAAAUCCUAAUCCAUAAACCAUAAAUCUUAAAACUUAAACCCUUGGGUAAAUUCUAAACCCUUAGAUAAAUAAUAAACUCUAAACCGAAAACACUAAACACUAAUACACUCGAGUGUUUAGGGUUUAGGAUUUAGGAUUUUAUUGUUUAGUGUUUUUGAUUUAGAGUUUAUUAUUUAUCCAAUGGUUUAGGGUUUACCCAAGGGUUUAAGGUUUCGUAUUUAGAGUUUAGAGAUUAGGAUUUAGGGUUUAGUAUUUUGCUAACGACGUAAAAAAUAUUUUUUUAAUAUUUUCUUUUCUGUAACUACUAUUUUUUUUAUUUUUUUAUUUUAAAAAUAUAAUAUAACUUGACAAUAUUUUGUUUUCUUUUUAAAA
rnacentral:lncRNA from 1 species